GAAAAUAAAAGAUAAUCAAAAUCCCGCUUACUUCUAAAAAAAAUUUUUGGUUACCCGCUCAUUACUCUCACUUCCUCUCAUCUCUGUCGUGCGCCCUAAAUCCCCCAAAUAAAAGUUUGUUUUUCUUCAGCUGAAAUCCCCCAAAUUUCCCAUUUCCAACAACAAACUUGAAGGAAGAAAACCAGAAGAUGGAAUGGAAUCACCCAGACAUAUCGCUGGAAGAAAUGAUGAAACUGAUAGAAGGGUUUGUUGAUAUCCUGGUUUUUUGUUUUGUUUUAUUUUUUUAAUUUUAUUUACUUUUGGGACUUUUUAAGGAAUGACAAGAAAAAAGAAUCUGGCGAUGACAAGUUCGACAAACCCAUAUCAGAGACUAGGGUUUCAAGGGAAGAAUGUGGUUCAAAUGGGAGAAAUCUAAAUAAGAAGAGAAGUUAUGCACAGUUUCAUUUAGAGUUAGGUCAAUCUAAUUUUCUUCUCCUUGCCUGUCAGUCGACUAAGCGGAGCGGCACAUUCCAGCCCAUCGAGGUUUUUGUGGUGGCAUCCGUUGGUUUCUAAUACUGCUCGACUCAUCUGUUUUUCCAUGUUCGGCACCAGAAAAUCUCCCCCUGGCAUAAACGAUCAGUCAAAUGGAAGCAGAUUCCUAAAGAUUUCAAAAUCUUAUACACAGUGAAUAGUCAUGUGGAGCAAGUGGAGUUGAGGGGGAAUACCUGAAUUAGUGGUGCACCUCAAGAUAACAACGUUAUGCUUUGGAAUGCUGUUAUAUUUGGACUUGAUGACACCCCAUGGGAUGGAGGUAAAGUAAAUUCUGGUGUUUUGGUUUGAAGCAUCAAUUUUUCUAUGUUCGUUUAGUUGAUUUGUUUGAUUUUCUCUUUAGAAGGUUGCUAUGCUCAAUAUAUGUUGAUGUAAUCUAUUUAAAAUUUUUGAGCGGUUUUAAAAUUUAUUUUGAUUAUUAUGUGAGGUUAGGCAACAAGGUGAAUAAUAUCGAUGGUUAUUACUUUGAUUAUUUAUGGUGCAAAGAUUAUAAGUAUAUCAAGGUGAUCUUUUCUGAUUGUCGUGAAACUUCUGCAUCUCAGCCGAGGUUAGUCUCAAUUGAUCUCAAUUUUCUCC